CUGGCCUUGACAUCCCCCUGACAGCAGAGUAAUGUCUGACUUCCUUCGGGACAGGGGAGACAGGUGGUGCAUGGUUGUCGUCAGCUCGUGUCGUGAGAUGUUGGGUUAAGUCCCGCAACGAGCGCAACCCCUAUCUUCAGUAGCCAGCGAGAGAGACGGGCACUCUGGAGAGACUGCCGGGGAUAACCCGGAGGAAGGUGGGGAUGACGUCAAAUCAUCAUGCCCCUUAUGACCAGGGCUACACACGUGCUACAAUGGCGUAAACAAAGGGAGGCGAAGGAGCGAUCCGGAGCGAAUCCCAAAAAUAACGUCCCAGUUCGGAUUGUAGUCUGCAACUCGACUACAUGAAGCUGGAAUCGCUAGUAAUCGCGAAUCAGAAUGUCGCGGUGAAUACGUUCCC
rnacentral:rRNA from 1 species